AGACAGAUGAGAUCUAGCAGUGCUGCAGUGCUAGCCCCCAGCAUGCAGCCUACCUCGCUGCAGCUGCCAAGAAGCAGCCAUACAUCUCUGCCAUUGAGUUAGGUCGUCCGUCUGCACCAAGGGACAGAGCGUGUCAAGCGAGCUGUGCGAGUGCAAGAGCUCAGAGUGCAGAACCCUGAAUCUAAGGAGUUGGUGGAGAGGGGAGCAGGAGGAGCUGGUUCGGCAGCUGCCCUGUGUGCUGCGGCAGUCCCGGGGGCUGCGAGGAGGAGAACCGUGCUUGGGGGAG
rnacentral:lncRNA from 1 species